rnacentral:rRNA from 1 species
UUGGAGGGCGUCUGGUGCCAGCAGCCGCGGUAAUUCCAGCUCCAAUAGCGUAUAUUAAAGUUGUUGCAGUUAAAAAGCUCGUAGUUGAACUUCGGGGUUUACCCAUUGGUCGGGCUUAAUUGUCUGUACUGGUGAGAUAAAUCUCUACCUUCUGAGGAACUUUCAUGUCAUUAAUUUGGUGUGAUUGGAAAUCAGGACUGUUACUUUGAAAAAAUUAGAGUGUUUAAAGCAGGCUAACGUCUGAAUACAUUAGCAUGGAAUAAUGAAAUAGGACGGAUUGAUUCUAUUUCGUUGGUUUCUAGGAUCACCGUAAUGAUUAAUAGGGAUAGUUGGGGGCAUUAGUAUUCAAUUGUCAGAGGUGAAAUUCUUGGAUUUAUUGAAGACUAACUACUGCGAAAGCAUUUGCCAAGGAUGUUUUCAUUAAUCAAGAACGAAAGUUAGGGGAUCGAAGACGAUCAGAUACCGUCGUAGUCUUAACCAUAAACUAUGCCGACUAGGGAUCGGACGAAGUUAAUUUUAUAAUGACGCGUUCGGCGCCUUACGGGAAAC